UCUUUCUCUUUUCUCUCUUUUUUUUCUCUCUCUCUCGUAAAGUGAUUUGAUUCUCCAAAAAGAAUGGAGGAGUUUAAAGUUAGAAGAGCAGGAGGAGGGGAUGUCGAAAUAAUUGCUCAAUUUCAAGUUCAAAUGGCAAUGGAAACUGAAUCUCUCUCUCUUGAUUUGGAAACAGUAAGAAAAGGAG
rnacentral:ribozyme from 13 species